UUUAAUUUGUUUUAACUCAUUUCAUUUCGCAUAGAUAGAAAAAAGGAAGCUCUCUGGAGCUUCAACCGAAAUAGAGCUCACCGUGCUGACUGCCGCCGCCGUUCGUCGCCGCCGAAGAAGAGAGAGAAAAGCACGAUCCGACGUGUUUCUUCACACUGAUGAUGGAUCUGAAAUUCUUUUAAUCAAAAGGGGUCCCUAGAAUCGCAUAUCUAGGGAAAACUACUCGGAUUCUUUUGACUCCGAUGAACCUCAAACUGGUCGACGAUCAUCGACUUCAAAUGCUCCUUGGUUGUUUCUGUUGUGUUGUGUGGCAUUGGUGAUGGUCCUUAUGAGAUCCUUGCGGCGAACGAUUCGAAGUGGUUGGUGUGUGGCCGUGAAAAUCGGAGGCUGGCCAAGAUGCUUGCGGUACUGUGGAUGGGGAGAAGAGAUUAGGGUUAGUAAACCCUAAUCUGCCUAUUCGUUUCAGCAUAUCAUGAACCCGGUUGUGGCUCGGGUCGCUGAUCACAACUUGGGUUACUUCAAGUGGGUAUUAGACUGUUAUGCUCCUGCGUGUUUUGGUCUGGUGCAGCUGUUGGACCAUUGUGGUAUUUGGGCUUGGUGUAUUUUUAUUUGUCUUUAGCUUGUACAUGUAAUACAAAAUUAAUAAGUAAAUAUAUAUUAUAUAA